UACGGAGGGUGCGAGCGUUGUCCGGAAUCACUGGGCGUAAAGGGCGCGUAGGCGGCUUUUUAAGGGUGCGGUGAAAGCCCGGGGCUUAACCCCGGGUCGGCCGUGCCGACUGAAAAGCUGGAGCACUGUAGAGGCAGGUGGAAUUCCGGGUGUAGCGGUGAAAUUCGUAGAUAUUCGCAAGAACACCAGUGGCGAAGGCGGCUCACUGGCCCGGUACUGACGCUGAGGUGCGAAAGCGUGGGGAGCAAACAGG
rnacentral:rRNA from 1 species